rnacentral:rRNA from 1 species
UGGGGAAUAUUGGACAAUGGGCGAAAGCCUGAUCCAGCCAUGCCGCGUGUGUGAAGAAGGUCUUCGGAUUGUAAAGCACUUUAAGUUGGGAGGAAGGGCAGUAAGCGAAUACCUUGCUGUUUUGACGUUGCCGACAGAAUAAGCACCGGCUAACUCUGUGCCAGCAGCCGCGGUAAUACAGAGGGUGCAAGCGUUAAUCGGAAUUACUGGGCGUAAAGCGCGCGUAGGUGGUUCGUUAAGUUGAAUGUGAAAGCCCCGGGCUCAACCUGGGAACGGCAUCCAAAACUGGAGAGAUAGAGUAGGGCAGAGGGUGGUGGAAUUUCCUGUGUAGCGGUGAAAUGCGUAGAUAUAGGAAGGAAAACCAGUGGCGAAGGCGACCACCUGGGCUCAUACUGACACUGAGGUGCGAAAGCGUGGGGAGCAAACAGG